GUAGAAUCCUUCCAGUUAAUUUUAUCCAAAAUCAGGUUUGUAGUUAUGUUGUGGAGGGUAGUGUGCUGUAUAUGUCCUGGUGACAUAGUGUUGUGGAGGGUAGUGUGCUGUAUAUGUCCUGGUGACAUAGUGUUGUGGAGGGUAGUGUGCUGUAUAUGUCUUGGCCGAAUAAUCCAAGUUUAUCUAACUCUAAAUCUAUAUAUAUUUUUUUAAACAUGCUGAAAAAUGCAGGAGCUCACAUGCAGCUGUCUCUCUCUCCUCUCUCUCUCCGUCUCUUUCUCUCCGUCUCUGUCUCUCUCCUCUCUCUCUCUCUCCGUCUCUCUCUCUGUCUCUCUCUCUCCGUCUCUCUCUCCGUCUCUCUCCCCGUCUCUCUCCGUCUCUCUCUCUCUCUCCGUCUCUGUCUCUCUCCGUCUCUCUGUCUCUCUCCGUCUCUGUCCGUCUCUCUCUCUCUCUCUCUCCGUCUCUGUCUCUCUCCGUCUCUCUCUCUCUCCGUCUCUCUCCCUCUCUCUCCGUCUCUGUCUCCCUCCGUCUCUGUCUCUCUCUCUGUCUCUCUCUCUCUCUCUCCGUCUCUGUCUCUCUCCGUCUCUCUCUGUCUCUCUCCCUCUCUCUCCGUCUCUGUCUCUCUCCGUCUCUGUCUCUCUCCGUCUCUCUCUCUCUCUCUCUCUCUCUCCGUCUCUCUCUCCGUCUCUCUCUCUCUCCGUCUCUCUCUUUCUCGCUCUCUCUCUCUCUCCGUCUCUCUCUCCGUCUCUCUCCGUCUCUGUCUCUCUCCGUCUCUGUCUCUCUCUCUCUCUCUCUCUCUCCGUCGCUGUCUCUCUCCGUCUCUCUCCGUCUCUCUCCGUCUCUCUCUGUCUCUCUCUGUCUCUCUCUGUCUCUCUCCGUCUCUGUCUCUCUCCCUCUCUCUCUCUCCGUCUCUGUCUCUCUCUGUCUCUCUCUCUCUCUCCGUCUCUGUCUCUCUCUCUCCUCUUCUCUCUCUCUCUCUCUCCGUCUCUCUCUCUCUCUCUCCCCGUCUCUGUCUCUCUGUCCGUCUCUCUCUCUCUCUCCGUCUCUCUCUCCGUCUCUCUCCGUCUCUGUCUCUCUCCGUCUCUGUCUCUCUCUCUGUCUCUCUCUCUCUCUGUCUCUGUCUCUCUCCGUCUCUCUCUGUCUCUCUCUGUCUCUCUCCGUCUCUCUCUCUCUCCCUCUCUCUCUCUCCGUCUCUGUCUCUCUCUCUCCUCUCUCUCUCUCCGUCUCCGUCUCUGUCUCUCUCCGUCUCUCUCUCUCCGUCUCUCUCUCUCCGUCUCUGUCUCUCUGUCCGUCUCUGUCUCUCUCAGCUAUCUUCCAGAUAAUGCAAAGUGUCAGAACCUUCUCGUCGUGGGAAACAGCUUCAGCCCGUCCCUGAUACUCAGACAUCCUCCUCUCUAAACAUCAGCUGAUUCUGCAUACUGUCAAUGAAUGUCUCGCUCUCUCUCUGUCUGAUACUCAGACAUCCUCCUCUCUAUGUCAAGUUAAACAUCAGCUGAUUCUGCAUACUGUCAAUGAAUGUCUCGCUCUCUCUCUCUGUCUCUCUGUCUCUCUCCGUCUCUGUCUCUCUCCGUCUCUGUCUCUCUCUCUCUGUCUGAUACUCAGACAUCCUCCGUCUCUCUAUGUCAAGUUAAACAUCAGCUGAUUCCGCAUACUGUCAAUGAAUGUCUCGCUCUCUCUCGCUCUCCUCUUCAAACAAUGUCCAGGACUUUGUCUUUCUUAAUAUUGAUUGGUCUGUAUUGGUAAUGUUGAAACAUGAAAUGUGUUUUCUUUCUAGUUAUUGAAAUAACCAUUUUGUUUAUGGAAUGUUAAUGCCUGUUCUCCUGUUCUCUGAUCUGUACUCUGUUAGUAACACUGAUCCCAGGUCAGUUUGGUAUUGGUCCUACUGAUGGUUACUGUUGGGAUGUGGGGAGAGGAGACUGACCCUAGAGCAGGUGUAGACUGACUAGAGGGUGCUGUCCUUGUUUUGUUAUCUCACUUGUAUGAACACAUCCCUUCCAUGUCUCUCUAUCUUUAUCUAAUCCAGUCAUCGCUCUUUCAAUAUCAAUUAAAACAUUUAUUAAUUCAGUUUCCUUUAUUUGGCACAACGUAAGAAUGUACACUACCGUUCAAAAGUUUUGGGGUCACUUAGAAAUGUCCUUGUUUUUUUAAAGAAAAUCACUUUUUUUUGUCCAUUAAAAUAACAUCAAAUUGAUCAGAAAUACAGCGUAGACAUUGUUAAUGUUGUAAAUGACUAUUGUAGCUGGAAACGGCAGAUUUUUAAUGGAAUAUCUACAUAGGCGAACAGAGGCCCAUUAUCAGCAACCAUCACUCCUGUGUUCCAAUGGCACGUUGUGUUGAUCAUUAGAAAACCCUUUUGCAAUUAUGUUAGCUCAGCUGGAAACUGUUGUUCUGAUUAAAGAAGCAAUAAAACUGGCCUUCUUUACACUAGUUGAGUAUCUGGAGCAUCAGCAUUUGUGGGUUCCAUUACAGGCUCAAAAUGGUCAGAAACAAAGAACUUUCUUCUGAAACUCAUCAGUCUGUUCUUGUUCUGAGAAAUGAAGGCUACGCUGUGUACUACUCCCUUCACAGAACAGCGCAAACUGGCUCUAACCAGAAUAGAAAAAGGAGUGGGAGGCCCCGGUGCACAACUGAGCAAGAGGACAAGUACAUUAGAGUGUCUAGUUUGAGAAACGGACUCCUCACAAGUCCUCAACUGGCAGCUUCAUUAAAUAGUACCAGCAAAACACCAGUCUCAACGUCAACAGUGAAGAGGCGACUCCGGGAUGCUGCCCUUCUAGGCGGAGUUGCAGAGAAAAAGCCAUAUCUCAGACUGGCCAAUAAAAAGAAAAGACUAAGAUGGGCAAAAGAACGCAGACACUGGACAGAGGAACUUCUUAAGUUACUCAGUUACAGGUUAAUAAGGAUCCGUCGCUUUUUUCAAUUUUCGCCUAAAAUGACAUACCCAAAUAUAACUGCUUGUAGCUCAGGACCUGAAGCAGGGAUAUGCAUAUUCUUGGUACCAUUUGAAAGGGAACACUUUUAAGUUUGUGGAAAUGUGAAAGGAAUGUAGGAUAAUAUAACACAUUAGGUCUGGUAAAAGAUAAUGCAAAGAAAAAAACAAACGUCUAAAAAAAACAAUGUACCAUCAUCUUUGAAAUGCAAGAGAAAGGUCAUAAUGUAUUAUUCCAGCCCAGCUGCAAUUUAGAUUUUGGCCACUAGAUGGCAGCUGUGUAUGUGCAAAGUUUUAGACUGAUCCAAUGAACCAUUGCAUUUCUGUUCAACAUUUUGUAUCAAGACUGCCCAAAUGUGCCUAAUUUGUUUAUUGGUAAGUUUUCAAGUUCAUAACUGCACUCUUCUCAAACAAUAGCAUGGUAUUCUUUCACUGUAGUAACUACGGUACAUUGGACAGUGCAGUUAGAUUAACAAGAAUUUAAGCUUUCUGCCAAUAUCAGACAUGUCUAUGUCCUGGGAAAUGUUCUUGUUACUUACAGCCUCAUGCUAAUCGCAUUAGCCUAACCUAAAAAGUUUAGAACCACAGAGAUUCUUUCUAGAGCUGGCCGGCCAAACUCAGCAAUCAGGGGAGAAGGGCCUUGGUCAGGGUGCUCAGGACCUCAGACUGGGGUGAAGGUUCAUCCAUCAACAGGACAACGACCCUAAGCACACAGCCAAGACAACUCAGGAGUGGCUUCAGGACAAGUCUCUGAAUGUCCUUGAGUGGCCCGGCCAGAGCCCGGACUUGAACCAGAUCAAACAUCUCUGGAGAGACCUGAAAAUAGCUGUGCAGCGACGCUUCCCAUCCAACCUGACAGAGCUUGAGAGGAUCUGCAGAGAAGAAUGGGAGAAACUCCCCAAAUACAGGUGUGCCAAGCUUGUAGCGUCAUACCCAAGAAGACUCGAGGCUGUAAUCGCUGCCAAAGGUGCUUCAACAAAGUACUGAGUAAAGGGGCUGAAUACUUAUGUAAAUGUGUUCAUUUUUUUUAUUUUUAAUAAAUUAGCAAACAUUUCUAAAAACCUGUUUUUCCUUUGUCAUUAUGGGUUGUUGUGUGUAGAUGGGUGAGGGG
rnacentral:lncRNA from 1 species